UUGUAUUUUCAUUACAAUGUUACUCAAUAAUAGUAAAAAACUCACAUAUAUAAAACACACUAAGUUUAACAAUAAUAAAUAUUUAAUAAUAAUGCAAGGUAAAAAUUUCUAAUUUAAGAAUGAAUGUACAAUUUGGUACUAGAAAAAAGUUUGUUUGAUUUCAAUGAAAAGAUGCUUUAUGUAAACCAUUUACAAUAACUGUAUAAAAGUGGUUAUGUUAUACACUUUUAUACAGUUAGAUAAUGUCCACAUAAUGGUUAUUUAAUUAAAAGUAUAUAAACUCGACUAUCAUUCAUUUGGUAAAUACUCUCAUGUUUCUGACAAGGUUGUCCUAUACCACAUUGCUUUUAACCGUCGAAACACAUGUUUUAAUUUUUAUUAAGAUAUAUAUAUAUCUAAAUGUGAAUACGAAAAAAUAAUGAAUUGUAAACUUUUUAAAAAAAGUAUUUUUCAUUAUCAUAAUCAGAAAUGUCAAGUUGAUUGUCAACAUUCUCGUGAAACCAAAAACUUUCACGAGCGAUAUCAGUAAAACAAAAUCUGCGUUUGCAAGAAUGUCUGAACCAGAGGAAAAAGCAACGUACUUUAUAGGUGUAUUGCCCUUUAACAGAUAUAUUUUUUAUAAUUAAAUAACAAUAUUUGUCAAACAUUAACAUGAAAAUUUCUGAAUAGCUGACACUUCAUUAACCACUACAUUGAUAAAGUUAUGAUUCUUGAUAUAAACAUAUCAUGUUAUUGUUUAACCAAUUGUGCCGUGAUGAAGUAUGUUUAGCAUGGUUAGUUAUUUGAAAUCAAUCAAAAUCUUUGUAUUUAGAGGAUUCAAAGUUGUUAAGUAUGUGGUUUUCCGUUAAUGAUAAACAUCAACUUAUCUAUACAUCGUUCAGCGUUGUACGAAUGUGCCGAACGUUUUAUGGUCCAGUUUAGACGAAUUCGAUAUUUCAAAGGAGUUUAUACAAAUAUGAAAUAUAUGAUGUUUCUUAGAACGAGUUUUAUAUUUCAAUCUUUAACUUGCAAAAAUUCUCAUAGUUUUAAUUUACACUUACUGAUAGAAACUAAAAUUUUGCAAUAUUUCCAGGAAGAAUUUACAUGAUGCCUUGCAAAAAGUUAGUAAAAUAGAUUUAAAUUGUAAUGAAACGCAUUUAAAUAUCUUAAGUAAACUUAUCAGGUUGUAAAUAGAGAACGCAUUAUUAUUAUACAAGCGUAUCUUUUGACCACAAUUCUUGAUUCUUUUUUAUCGAAAUAUUUACAAAUCAGUUGAGAUUUGAAAAAAAAACAGGAGUAACAGAAUUCGUCAUCCUAAUGUGUUUGGCUGAGCAGAGAGCUAUUCUUAGAGAGAAAUAGUAAUUGCAUAGCUACUAUGUAGGGUGUUGGGAUCAUCUAAUCUACUGUCGAGUAAGAAUCGCAUUAAGAUAAAUGCACUGAUGCAUAUUAUUACACUGGAGAGAAUAGCAUAAUUUUCCUGUCCUGUUUUGUAGUAUCUAACAUCAUAAAACUUAACAAGGACGACUGUAUACAACGUCAACAAGACACGCUAUUCAAUAGAUAAAACGUUUUCGCUCAUGCUUACCGAAUAGUAAUGAAGUAAUUCUUCCUAAUAUAUCCUCGAUUUACAUUUCAUAUGAAGUACGUGUAAAAAACGUUUUCAUCGAAAGGAAGUUAUAAAAAUCAUGAAAUGGCAAGGAAUAUAACAGGAAGACAAAAACAUUUAUAUACAAGAUAACAACAGUAGUGCAAGAGACUAUUGUAAAAAAGAUGGUAGCAUCACAUAACAAUAAAAACAAAUUGUAACGAGACGAAGUCGAAUAAAAAAGUAAAAUGAACUAAAAAAAAAAAAUAAACAAAGCAAAACACAUCAUAUCUUUUAAAUUAACAAACAAA
rnacentral:lncRNA from 1 species